UAGGUGACCUGCGGAA
rnacentral:rRNA from 2 species